UGGGGAAUCUUGCACAAUGGGCGAAAGCCUGAUGCAGCAACGCCGCGUGGGGGAUGAAGGCUCUCGGGUUGUAAACCCCUUUCAGCAGGGACGAAACUGACGGUACCUGCAGAAGAAGCCCCGGCCAACUACGUGCCAGCAGCCGCGGUAAUACGUAGGGGGCGAGCGUUGUCCGGAUUCAUUGGGCGUAAAGAGCUCGUAGGCGGCUUGAUAAGUCGGGUGUGAAACCUCCAGGCUCAACUUGGAGCUGCCACUCGAUACUGUCAUGGCUUGAGUCCGGUAGGGGGCCACGGAAUUCCUGGUGUAGCGGUGAAAUGCGCAGAUAUCAGGAGGAACACCGGUGGCGAAGGCGGUGGCCUGGGCCGGUACUGACGCUGAGGAGCGAAAGCGUGGGGAGCGAACAG
rnacentral:rRNA from 1 species